rnacentral:rRNA from 1 species
AAUGAACGCUGGCGGCGCGUCUAAUACAUGCAAGUCGAGCGAGAAGACGUAGCAAUACGUUUGUAAAGCGGCGAACGGGUGAGGAAUACAUGGGUAACCUACCCUCGAGUGGGGAAUAACUAGCCGAAAGGUUAGCUAAUACCGCGUACGCUUCUUGGACUUCGGUUCAGGGAGGAAAGCGAUACCGUGGGUAUCGCGCUCUUGGAUGGGCUCAUGUCCUAUCAGCUUGUUGGUGAGGUAACGGCUCACCAAGGCUUCGACGGGUAGCUGGUCUGAGAGGACGAUCAGCCACACUGGCACUGCGACACGGGCCAGACUCCUACGGGAGGCAGCAGUAAGGAAUAUUGCGCAAUGGGCGAAAGCCUGACGCAGCGACGCCGCGUGGGGGAUGAAGGUCUUCGGAUUGUAAACCCCUUUCGGGAGGG